rnacentral:misc_RNA from 1 species
GUGAAUCAUCAAAUUUUUGAACGCAAAUUGCACUUUCUGGUAUUCCGGAAAGUAUGCCUGUUUGAGGGUCAGUUAAAUAAAAAUCGGUGUUGUUGCUGCCUUUCGUGGUGACGCGUCGGAUUUGAGUCGUCUUACCUUCGUUUCAGCUUCUUAAAAUUUUUCCAUUAUUUUCGAACGUAUUUAACUCUUUUACGUACGUUUGCGAUAUCGAAUGCUUAUUAGGUUCGUUCAUCCUCAUCACCCGCUCCUAUACUUUUUCAUUAAAUUCCCUCUACUCAGGUAAGA